GGCUUUGUAGUGAAAUUCACGACGAAUUGCAAACUCGUAGAUGUAUUUUAAACUGUACCUAAGCUU
rnacentral:tRNA from 1 species